AGACUACUGUUUAUGAAAAAAGAUUAACACUAUGCUGUGAUAAAAAGUAAAAUUAAACCGUAACCAUUUGUGGUGGACUGUAUUCUAAACGUUCUCGGACAUAUUGUUUAAUUUUAAAGAUUCAGGCUAGGCAUCUCCAACCAAUGACUUACAUGUCACUAAAGAGCAUCUGGUAUUCUUCAGUUCGUUCACCUUGCACUGAAUACUAAAUACUACUAAAGAAAGACGGCUCUGUUGUAGUGAACUGUACAGUAGCUACAAUUGCGGUGCGUAUCGUAAUUUUACAGUGCACUUAGGGAAUAAAUGUACAUUUGAAAAUUCGAACAGCAGUAGAAAAUGGCUAAUUCACUAUAGUGGACUAUCGAGUGAGUGAGUGAGUGAGUGAACGUUCCUUAGUGUCCGCCGCAUUUCCCCGAGCUGAGCAUCGGCAGCCUCGCAAUUAUGCAACCCAGCCCGCUCUUAGGAAUGGCUCCGCAAUGCAGCAGACUCUGCACCGCUGCAACUGCAUUUGGCACGUGCCGGGUUUUUUUUUUUUUUUUUAUUUUUUUUAUUAAUAAAGCUAACCAAAGAGACAGUUCAAUGCGGAGAGAAGCCUUGCCCUAAGAUGAACACGGAGUGUAGGUCGCUCUGGAGUGUGUUUAACAAAAAGCUUUGUACUUUAAACUUUUUUGAUAUCCACUGCUGUUACUGACAUACAAAUAGUAGGUGCAGUAGCAGUAGUAAGUCCAUGUAUGACGAUUCUGAACAAAUUCAUGAGUAUUACUGGGGCUCCGAUGUGUAGCAGUUUAGGACAAAUACACUUUAUAGGGAACUCCUAAAUUUCACGUCUCGUGGGAAUAUUAAAACAUCCAGUAGGUAUAGAGAAACACAUAAAGUAUAGUAGCCUAGUCUGUAAACUACAAGAGCUUUUGGGUGGCAGACAACCUUCAUUAAUAUAACUAUGCCCGCAGAAGUACAUGAACAUUUAAGAUGUGCACACCUCUUUUAACCUCCAAGCCUUUCGGUGGCACUACUGUCUUCGUUCUAAGAUGCUGAUGUUUGUCUUCCCUUAAAUCCCAGUUGUCCAACCUUUGUGAUCCUGCGUCAAUCGUUUUGCUAUGUAGGUGUCAGAUCCAGAUUAUGCACUUUACAAAUUGGAUGUAUUCAAGACAUCUGAAACCACCGUGGAUGGGGAUGGCUCCAUGUUUCUUUGUCCUAGUGAUACUAACUGCUGUCUGCGCGUCUGAAAUCGAUGCUGUCCAUCACCCUGGUGGAGAUCAUACGAGGCAGAAUCCGGAAGGGCAGCACCCUUUUGGGGCUUCGCGGGAUUCUCCCACCUCAAAUGACACAGAUGUAACCUACGAUCUCUUCUCGUCCGCGGUGACCGUAAUCUUCUAUGGAAGUCACUUCGUUCCGGUUAAGAAAUUUGGCAGUGGAGAUGGCAAUGCCACUGGCAUGCCCAUAGUGGCACCAGGGAGUUUGAGCCUAGGGCUCUUUCUGUGGGCAUCCUUCAACCUGCUAAUGGGCUGGGCAAGCACCAGGUGUGUCUGUGUGUACCAGCCUCUCUGCCCGCUCAGAUACUGCCUUGCCCACUGCCUGGCUGUCCGUCUGUAAAGGUAAACCUUUGUCUCUCCCACCCAAACGUGUGCACACGUGCACACACACACACACACACACACACACACACACACACACACACACACACACACACACACACACACACACACACACAGACACACACAGACAUAUUUGAGUACAACAGGCACUGACAGAGAGUAAGUAAUAAUAUAAAAUACAGUUGAAUCUAAAAUGUUACAUCUGACAGGUAAAGCCUGAUUUUUUCCAUCUGGCUAAAUGUUAGACAAUGUUGUCCUCAUCUCCAACAAACAGGUCCUGUAUCAAAAAUGCACACGUCAAACAGGACUGCAGAGCAACAAUGUAAUGUCAGAUGUCAGAUUAGUAAAUGUAGCAUGCACAUUUUAUCCUGUUAAAUGCUGCUAAAACCUUGAAAACAUUUAGCCACUGUCAAAGGAACCAGGAGAUCCCAGCUACCUGCCUAGGCUCUAUUUCUGAUUGUAUAUACAUUACUUAGAACAUAGAACAUAGAACAUAGAUGAUCCCCAUAGCUAAAUUAGACUUGGAUGUGUUGUGGAACAGUAGGCUUUUCAUGUCACGAUUCAUCUGGAUUCUUUCAUCCAUCAUGACUGGACCUUACAGGGGUGUAAAUGUUCAUAGGCAGAGAGAAUGUAAUAUAUAUAUGAAUCUAAAAUAUAUGUAAUGCAAUAUUUAUUCAAUUUGCAAAUUGUUGCCUUAUUGAAAUAAUAUAUGCAAUGAUUAUUUUAUUUUCCACGUCCCAAGUGUAGAAUUGCUGCUUAAUGAAAGUUAUAGGGACCAAUUACAUUUUCUUUAAAUGAGGUAAACCUCCAAUGGUGAAUUAAAAUGUCAUGUUCUCUGUAUGUUCAUUUCAAGAAAAAGGAAGGUUCAACUGAACUGAUUUGCAAAUGCUAAUUUCAUGAAACAUUUUUUUCUCCUAUGUGUUGAGAGUGAGAUUUAAAUAAAGUCAAUACGUUUUAAAUUGGUUUGCGUGUGCUUGUGUCUUCAUCGUAAAUCACCACAAUUGCUUGUCUGGUAAGGUUAGAGGUUGGUGGUAAGGGCAGUAGUACAAAUGAACAAAACAUUUUGCACCAUGUCAUUGCAAUAUAAUUUUUCACUGUUCAACUUGCCAGUGUUGCGUUCGGGAAUGGUUGCCAGUGUUUGUGUGUGUAUAUGUUUGCCGCUAUUUUGCAGCAUGUUGCUCGGAAUAGACAAACGAAGAGUCGAAGAGCAGUCCUCUAUGGCUGCAGGUUGUGCUACUGGGAUGUGUUGCCAUGGAGAGUGUCUCCCUUGCAGAGAGUGUAAAUCUCGAGGGUUGGCCCCCCCUCCCAGAGCACUGGUGCAUGAUCAGUCUGUGGAGCAUGCUCUCUGUGGGGCAGCUCUGCCUGGAUAACAGGGAGAGAGAUGGAGGUCCCAGAGGAGGGAGGCUCUCAGAAGACAAGCCAACCGUGGUAAUUACAGUUGAGCUUUCAUGUGAUGUAGCCACAGUCUUGUUUGUAUUGUGUCAACAAUUUCCAGGUAUUCAAAUAGUGUAUGGUUCCAGGUCUUCAGGUGUUCUCUGGUGAGCCAAUGAAUAUAAGUCCCCUUUGAUCAUAUUAGGUUAUGUUAUUGUAUAUGUAUGUCAUAUUAAUUUAAUAAAUGUCAAUAAAUCGGUCAGUUUUCA